AAUCGAUGAGCUGUUGCUAAUUUCUGCGCAAUAUUUUGCGCCACGCAUUAGGUUUGGAGUGCGUGCGGCAGUGGUUUCGUGCGAAUGAGUGGAGUAGUUGGAAAGAAGGUUUGAACACGCAUCGAUACGGUGGUGAGUUAGCUUGGAAACACAAAACAUUAGUAUACGAUUUGUAAAUUUGAGAAACGAUCGUCAAUAAACGAGUUCACUCAAACUCAAUUGAACUGAACAUCAUCAACCAUAAGUAUGUACAAAAAUCAAUACCAUAGCAGAAUAGAUUCGAGCACACCUCUCCAAAAAACCACUAUAACCCAACAAAACCCAUCUGAAGCUGCAAACCACCGUUGCACCAGCCAUGAACAGCCCACGCUUGGAUCACUUCGGCUUUGCGACGGACUCUUUUCGCAAAUUGUACUUGAGAAAUAAUUUAUUCCACGACACGACAAUUAUGCCUUUACGUUAAGAUUUGUCUAACAGAAACUUAAACAUAAAUUAAAAAUUAAACUUAGUUCAAACAGAAAAUUAAGGUCAAACAAUCAUGACGAACUUGUGCAGUUUUAACAUGGAGUUGGAUAAAAAGAAGCAACAUUUGCCUCGUGCACUUUGUAUUACCUUGUAGACACUUGGAUGAUGUGUAUAGAAAGACAUCUUCAGUGGAAUAUAUACAUUAUGUAUUCCUAGCCUAUAUUACACGAUUUCGACUACAGUUAGUAAUCUAGUAAUAUUCA